rnacentral:rRNA from 1 species
ACGUAGGUGGCGAGCGUUGUCCGGAUUUACUGGGCGUAAAGGGAGCGUAGGCGGACUUUUAAGUGAGAUGUGAAAUACCCGGGCUCAACUUGGGUGCUGCAUUUCAAACUGGAAGUCUAGAGUGCAGGAGAGGAGAAUGGAAUUCCUAGUGUAGCGGUGAAAUGCGUAGAGAUUAGGAAGAACACCAGUGGCGAAGGCGACUUACUGGACUGUAACUGACGCUGAGGCAUGAGAGCAUGGGGAGCAAACAGGAUUAGAUACCCUGGUAGUCCAUGCUGUAAACGAUGGGUACUAGGUGUGGGUUGUGAAGAACAAUCCGUGCCGUCGCAAACGCAAUAAGUACCCCGCCUGAGGAGUACGAUCGCAAGAUUA